rnacentral:rRNA from 1 species
GACAGAGGUGCCGAGCGUUAGGCGGAAUCACUGGGCUUAAAGCGUGUGUAGGCGGAUCUGUAAGUACCUUGUGAAAUCCCACGGCUCAACCGUGGAACUGCUUGGUAUACUGCGGGUCUUGAGCCACCUAGGGGCAAGUGGAACAAAUGGUGGAGCGGUGAAAUGCGUAGAUAUCAUUUGGAACGCCAACGGAGAAAUCAGCUCGCUGGGGGUGUGCUGACGCUGAGACACGAAAGCCAGGGGAGCGAACGGG